CUGCUUUCAGAGACGGGCUGGAGCGCUGCUGGCUUUAAUGCUGAGCGGAGCCGGUUCCUGCUCCUCCUCGGCCGGGCGGCAGCGGUGGGGCACGGAGUGCCGGCCCUGCGCAGCUUUCCUUCGGUGUCGUUCAGAAACGCGCUGCGAGGACGGCUGAGGCGGCGGCACGGGGCGCGUGGUGCGGCCCCACUGCUGCCCUGCAGCCGUGUGCGGUUUUCCUGUCAUGUGGCCCUGAUUGCCUCGAGUGCUGUCUAAAAAUGGAUGGUAACGAAGGGCAGUGCGUUUCGUCACUGACAGAAGCGCAGGGAGGUGCUGCCCUUACUGCGGGGAGAGCCAACGCAGCGCUCCUGCAGCUCCGCUCUGUGCAAGCCGAGGGCUGCAGGGGGUGGCAGCUCCGCGGAGCAGAGAUGCGGCAGCCCAGAGGGCACCGCGAGGCGGGGGGACGGGGAAGAAUUCCUUCUCUCCCUUUGCCUCCCGAUUGCUAUGGAAGGGGUUCAGGAGGAGAAAAAAGCGAUGCGCUGCAGCAGAGGGCUGCGCUGCAACCGCGUGCUGCUGCCAGCGGGCAGGCUGUUAUCCGGCGUCGGGAUGUUAAAGAAACUGAGAGUGUUCAGGUUCGUUUCAAAAGCUUUUAAUGGACUAAAAGACACCAGUGAAAGGAGGUUCUUGUAGGAAAGAUGCACUGUAGUCGUUUAUUGAUUGCUUUCCAUGGAACUCGGAUUUUUCCAAUAGGAGCAAGUUCUUUUGCAGGAGCCGCCUCCUGCUGCGCCUCAGCGCUGCGCCCACCUUGCCUUGCCCCCCACAAAUACCUGCCGUGCCGACGGGAACCCGAGGUACAGCGCGCAGUGACAGCACUGGUUUCUCCAGAAGGUCAGUAAAAGAAGCGAUGCAAAUUAGCACGGGGUACUUCAGCCAUGACAGACAGAAUGAGAGCCUGGACUCCUCUGUCAGCACAGUGUAGGGUGCAUCAGCAACCCUCAGUUGCUCUACAGCUUGAUCUGUUGGGGAAAAAAGGACAUUCCACUCCCAUGGCCCGCAGAGGUGAACUCUGAGCUGCUGCGGGACCGGCGUUACCGGGAGCCUGCAUCGAGAAUGGCGAUGGGAUGCGCGUGUGGUGGGAGAGGGGGAAAUACAGACAUACCCAUUUAAAGGCCUCCGCCAUCUCAGUAACAUCCAUUGCCAGCAAUGGAAGCUCCCCUGGGAACAAUCUCAAACCCAGUGUGCAAAGACAUUCGUUAUGAAGAUAUUGGCCACAGGUUUCAGUGCCGGGAGAGACUGCUCCCCCCGCAAGGCCCAGCAAUUUCAAGUUGUGACACUCAUGAUUCCAAUUCAGUUACGUUUGGCAGCGGGGAUAACAGCCGUGAGCUCUGAGUUAGGGUUAUUUCAGAUAAGAUCAAGUCUCCAUUUCUGACUUUUCCUCCCCUCUUCUCCCCUCUGUUAAUAGGGCCCCUGUUAGCUCCUCACUCAGACCUCGGCUGCUGCCAUUACGUCUCUCCCAGGCACUGGGGUUUCCACUGGAAUGGAAGUUUGUGCGCUUUAAACAUCAAGAUCAAGCCCUCACUCUUUGGGUACAGUAUCCUGUUACUCAGCUGCAAGCAGAGCAGAGGUGGAACUAACGAAGAAGACUUCUAUUUUUGGCAGUGAUACUCCCUGGGAAGUGAUGGAUCUCAAUGAGCAUCUCAGUGCUACCACGAGAAGGAAGGAUUCUUUCCGCAGAAUACACAUCCAUCAACUGCUAGAAAACAG
rnacentral:lncRNA from 1 species